GACGAACGCUGGCGGCGUGCCUAAUACAUGCAAGUAGAACGCUGAAGAGAGGAGCUUGCUCUUCUUGGAUGAGUUGCGAACGGGUGAGUAACGCGUAGGUAACCUGCCUGGUAGCGGGGGAUAACUAUUGGAAACGAUAGCUAAUACCGCAUAAAAUGGAUUAUCGCAUGAUAAUCCAUUGAAAGGUGCAAAUGCAUCACUACCAGAUGGACCUGCGUUGUAUUAGCUAGUUGGUGGGGUAAAGGCUCACCAAGGCGACGAUACAUAGCCGACCUGAGAGGGUGAUCGGCCACACUGGGACUGAGACACGGCCCAGACGCCUACGGGAGGCAGCAGUAGGGAAUCUUCGGCAAUGGGCGGAAGUCUGACCGAGCAACGCCGCGUUAGUGAAGAAGGUUUUCGGAUCGUAAAGCUCUGUUGUAAGAGAAGAACGAGUGUGAGAGUGGAAAGUUCACUCUGUGACGGUAUCUGACCAGAAAGGGACGGCUAACUACGU
rnacentral:rRNA from 1 species